rnacentral:rRNA from 1 species
CUGCCGUGACAGAUUCAACGGCCGCGGUACCCUAACCGUGCGAAGGUCCUUAAUCACUUGUUCUUUAAAUGAGGACUAGUAUCAACGGCAUCACGAGGAUCUUACUGUCUCCCCCCUCUAAUCAGUGAAACUGAUCUCCCCGUGAAGAAGCGGGGAUAAAUUUAUAAGACGAGAAGACCCCAUGGAGCUUUAAGCUUACCGGCACCUAUUAAUUUUAUACCCUCAUAUUCUCCUAGUAAUGCUUGUUCAGCUUUGGGUUGGGGUGACCAUGGAGCAAAAAAUAGCCUCCACGAAGAAAGGAACAAAACCCUUAUCAAAGAGUUACAUCUCUAUGAAUUAGAACACUAACUUUUAAUGAUCCGAUAAUCGAUCAACGAACCAAGUUACCCUGGGGAUAACAGCGCAAUCCAUCUCAAGAGCUCCUAUCGACAGGUGGGUUUACGACCUCGAUGUUGGAUCAGGGUUUCCCAGUGGUGCAGCAGCUACUAAAGGUUCGUUUGUUCAACGAUUAAAACCCU